rnacentral:rRNA from 1 species
GACGAUGAUAGGCCGGGUGUGUAAGCGCAGCGAUGCGUUGAGCUAACCGGUACUAAUGAACCGUGAGGCUUAACCUU